UACGUAGGGUGCGAGCGUUGUCCGGAAUUAUUGGGCGUAAAGGGUUCGUAGGCGGUAAUACAUGUCAGAUGUGAAAUCUUGUGGCUUAACCACAUCAAGCAUCUGAAACUGUAUAACUUGAGUGGAGGAGAGGUAAGUGGAAUUCCUAGUGUAGCGGUGAAAUGCGUAGAUAUUAGGAAGAAUACCAGUAGCGAAGGCGACUUACUGGCCUCUAACUGACGCUGAUGAACGAAAGCGUGGGUAGCAAACAGGAUUAGAUACCCU
rnacentral:rRNA from 1 species